rnacentral:rRNA from 1 species
CCUACGGGGGCUGCAGUGGGGAAUAUUGGACAAUGGGCGAAAGCCUGAUCCAGCCAUGCCGCGUGUGUGAAGAAGGCCUUCGGGUUGUAAAGCACUUUCAGUGGGGAAGAAAGCCUUGGGGCUAAUACCCUCGAGGAAGGACAUCACCCACAGAAGAAGCACCGACUAACUCCGUGCCAGCAGCCGCGGUAAUACGGAGGGUGCGAGCGUUAAUCGGAAUUACUGGGCGUAAAGCGCGCGUAGGCGGUCUGAUAAGCCGGUUGUGAAAGCCCCGGGCUCAACCUGGGAACGGCAUCCGGAACUGUCAGGCUAGAGUGCAGGCGAGGAAGGUAGAAUUCCCGGUGUAGCGGUGAAAUGCGUAGAGAUCGGGAGGAAUACCAGUGGCGAAGGUGGCCUUCUGGACUGACACUGACGCUGAGGUGCGAAAGCGUGGGUAGCAAACAGGAUUAGAUACCCUAGUAGUC